UCAAGGGGCGCAGGCUGACGCAGCGACGCCGCGUGGGGGAUGAAGGCCUUCGGGUUGUAACCCCUUUCAGCAGGGACGAAGCGAAAGUGACGGUACCUGCAGAAGAAGCGCCGGCUAACUACGUGCCAGCAGCCGCGGUAACACGUAGGGCGCAAGCGUUGUCCGGAAUUAUUGGGCGUAAAGAGCUCGUAGGCGGUCUGUUGCGUCCGCCGUGAAAACUCGGGGCUUAACCCCGAGCCUGCAGUGGAUACGGGCAGACUAGAGGUAGGUAGGGGAGAAUGGAAUUCCCGGUGUAGCGGUGAAAUGCGCAGAUAUCGGGAGGAACACCGGUGGCGAAGGCGGUUCUCUGGGCCUUACCUGACGCUGAGGAGCGAAAGCGUGGGGAGCGAACAGGAUUAGAUACCCUGGUAGUCCACGCCGUAAACGUUGGGCGCUAGGUGUGGGAUCCUUCCACGGAUUCCGUGCCGCAGCUAACGCAUUAAGCGCCCCGCCUGGGGAGUACGGC
rnacentral:rRNA from 1 species